GAUGAAGAACGUAGCGAAAUGCGAUACUUGGUGUGAAUUACAGAAUCCCGUGAACCAUCGAGUCUUUGAACGCAAGUUGCGCCCGAAGCCAUUAGGCCGAGGGCACGCCUGCCUGGGCGUCACACGUCGUUGCCCCCCCCAUCUACUCCUUCGGGAUUGCGGGGGGCGGAUGAUGGCCUCCCGUGCGCCUCGCCGCGCGGUUGGCAUAAAUGCCAAGUCCUCGGCGACGCACGCCACGACAAUCGGUGGUUGCGAAACCUCGGUUGCCCGUCGUGUGCGGUCGUCGCGCAUCGAGGGCUCGAAAAAAUUGCCGAGUUCCGGCUCGGCUUUCAACGCGACCCCAGGUCAGGCGGGGUUACCCGCUGAAUUUAAGCAUAUCAAUAAGCGGAGGA
rnacentral:misc_RNA from 1 species